rnacentral:rRNA from 1 species
UACGGGGGGGGCAAGCGUUGUUCGGAAUUACUGGGCGUAAAGGGCUCGUAGGCGGCCAACUAAGUCAGACUUGAAAUCCCCAGGCUCAACCUGGGAACUGCGUCUGAUACUGGAUGGCUUGAAUCCGGGAGAGGGAUGCAGAAUUCCAGGUGUAGCGGUGAAAUGCGUAGAUAUCUGGAGGAAUACCGGUGGCGAAGGCGGCAUCCUGGACCGGCAUUGACGCUGAGGAGCGAAAGCCAGGGGAGCAAACAGG